rnacentral:rRNA from 1 species
UUAGGGUUCUAUUCCGGAGAGGGAGCCUGAGAAACGGCUACCACAUCCAAGGAAGGCAGCAGGCGCGCAAAUUACCCAAUCCCGAUACGGGGAGGUAGUGACAAUAAAUACUGAUACAGGGCUCUUUUGGGUCUUGUAAUUGGAAUGAGUACAAUUUAAAUACCUUAACGAGGAACAAUUGGAGGGCAAGUCUGGUGCCAGCAGCCGCGGUAAUUCCAGCUCCAAUAGCGUAUAUUAAAGUUGUUGCAGUUAAAAAGCUCGUAGUUGAACCUUGGGCCUGGCUGGCCGGUCUGCCUCACCGCAUGUACUGGUUCGGCCGGGUCUUUCCUCCUGGGGAUCCGCAUGCCCUUCACUGGGUGUGUUGGGGAACCAGGACUUUUACUUUGAAAAAAUUAGAGUGUUCAAAGCAGGCCUUUGCUCGAAUACAUUAGCAUGGAAUAAUAGAAUAGGACGUGCGGUCCUAUUUUGUUGGUUUCUAGGACCGCCGUAAUGAUUAAUAGGGAUAGUCGGGGGCAUCAGUAUUCAGUUGUCAGAGGUGAAAUUCUUGGAUUUACUGAAGACUAACUACUGC